UACUAAACUUCAGGCAAUGACAAAAGAAGGAGCCAAAAAUGAACUUUUAAUCUUGUAAAUUAAGCGUGCUGUGGUUUUUUAUAAAAAACUUUUUUUUCCACUUCGGCACUCACUCGUGAACUUCGCCGGCAUUCGGGACACUUUCAGAAAUACCGGCUCGGCGUUUAAGGGUUAAGAAGUAUGAAGCUGGCAUGCAGUUGAGUGUGAUCACUAAGGAAUACGGCUGAAAUCCAUCGACGAUAGGCACCAUCCUUAAGCAGAAGGAAGCCAUCAAAGCAUCUACACUUUCCAAGGGUGUGACUAUUUUUUCCAACAAGAGGAGCCACAUGCAUGAUGAGAUGGAGAGGCUGCUUCUCAUAAGGAUUAAGGACAAAGAAAUUGCUGGCGAUACGAUAACUGAGACAGCAGUCUGCCAGAAGGCCAGUGCUAUUUUCGGUGAUCUGAGUGCUCAGGCCGAAGACGACACAGGAGAAGGGACAUCGAAGGCAACCCCAGACUUCAAGGCUUCUCGAGGUUGGUUUGAAAAAAUUUCGUAAACGGACUGGCAUCCAUUCGGUGGUGCAGCAUGGGGAGGCUGCCAGCAGUGAAGAAAUUCUUGGAAGAGAAGCUCCUCCCUCUGAAAUGUCUGCUGUUGUUGGACAGGGCCCCUGUUCACCCCCCUGGCCUCAAGGAAGAUAUCCUAGCGGAGUAUUCUUUCAUCAAGGUUCUUUAUCUUCCACCUAACACCACCCCUCUCCUCUCGCCCAUGGACCAGCAAGUGAUAUUGAACUUCAAGAAGCUAUAUACAAAACAUCUUUUCAAGAGAUGUUUCAACAUCACCAAUACCACAAACCUCACCCUGUGGGAAUUUUGGAAGGAGCAUUUUGAUAUCGUGAUAUGCAUCCGACUCAUCGAUCAAGCUUGGCAGGAGGUUUCGAGUUGAACCUUGAAUCCUUCAUGGAGGAAACUCUGGCCUGAUGCUGUAUCUGCCCGAGACUUCGAGGGGUUCAAUGUGGGUGAAGCUGAGGCAGAUUCGGAAACAGUUGACGAUCCUGAAACUGUUUUGCAACCAGAUCUUGACGAGAUCAUUGCACUCAGCAAGUCCAUGGGGCUGGUUGCUGACGAGGACGAUAUCAAUGACCUUCUCCAGGAGCACCAAUAGGAGCUUACGACUGAUGACCUGAAGGAGUUGGCGGCCAUGCAACAUAACUCAAGAAGAGUUUUCUAGCAGCAGCGAGGAGGAGGAGGAGGAGGACCCUAUGACAACGGCAGAAAUUAAAGAUGUCCUAGCUGCUUUUCAUAAAGUGCAAACAUUUGUAGAAAAGAGACACCCCAAAAAGGGUUACACAGGUCGUAUGCUUGCAAAGUUCGAUGACGUUUGCCUGAGUAGUUUCAGGAACAUUUUGAAAAGCAGGCAGAAGCAAACUUCCUUGGAUAGUUAUUUUUUAAAAGAGCCAUUUAAUAGUAAGCAAACAGGAAGGUCCAAGUGAUACGAAAAAACAGAAAAUUGGAAGUGGUGAAGAAAUUGAAAUUUGUUAAAAAAAAACUUAAAGUAAAAAAAUAAAAAGAUAAAAAAUAUCAGAAAAAUGCAAAAAAUAAAUUUAAUUUUAAGUUUUUCAUAAAGUUAAGUGUUAAUGUUUUCUGCCAUUUGUUAAUGUGUUUUGUAAACUUUAGUGUUAAUGUUUUCUGCCAUUUUUUAAUGUGUUUCAUAAAGUUAAGGGACCGCCCGUCAAAAAUGACGAAAUAUUUUGAAAAAAGUCGAUUUCUAGUGAAUCAACCAUCGAAUACUUCAUGGAAAUGGCAACCCACUCCCGAAGUUUCAGAGCAAUAUAUUGAUUCUAACUAUUUUUCUACAAUAUUUUGCUAAAAUAAGUUAUUAUUUUGACAAUCACACUCUUAUUUCCCUAUUAUUAGGUUAUACAGCGUAUAAUAUAAAUAUACAAGGAAUUAUAUACGUAUACAUAUAUCAUGAAUAAAAAUAAUGUUUAGCAACUCGUCCACUGCUAUACGGUAGCGAGUAGGCGAUGGACUGGAGCUUUGGAAGUCAGUGCCUUGAAGGCUAUCUUAGCAGACGGUCGUCUGUGUCGUCUGCUCGCGUGACGUUUCUUGUGUUUCGUCUGCUACUGUCACCGUUCAUCGGGCGAUUUUUUAGAUUUAUCUGGAUUCUCUACACUGCAAAUCAUUUCUGCAAUGCCCAGGAAGAAAGGCUACAUCAAGAGGAUGGCCGAAGCAGUUGAGAAAGCGAGAGAGGUGAAAAGGAGGAAACUGGAAGAGCGACGUGCGUCAGCCAUUUUAACUCCACCACCAACAGCUGAUCCUCCCCAGCCAUCAACGAGCCAUAUGACCGCCACCACACCAUUGCCUCCCUCCACCACUGGUGCUCCAACACAAACUCUCACCAGUUCAGUGCGUAGAAAGAUCAGUAUUAAAAAAAAAAGAAAAAGAAGGUGUACAAUAGCUGCUCUGCUGGAGCAUACUAGUCGCCGUGGGAUGUGUCAACUUUAAAUGCCAUUUUCUCAAAAAUUUUGCAUUCAGCAGAUGGGAGAAGAGUCCAGGUAUCAAGAUUGCCCUAAAAUAAAAUUUUCAAUUAGUUA